rnacentral:rRNA from 1 species
UACGUAGGGUGCAAGCGUUAUCCGGAAUUAUUGGGCGUAAAGAGCUCGUAGGCGGUUUGUCGCGUCUGCUGUGAAAACUGGGGGCUCAACCCCCAGCCUGCAGUGGGUACGGGCAGACUAGAGUGCGGUAGGGGAGAUUGGAAUUCCUGGUGUAGCGGUGGAAUGCGCAGAUAUCAGGAAGAACACCGAUGGCGAAGGCAGAUCUCUGGGCCGUAACUGACGCUGAGGAGCGAAAGCGUGGGGAGCGAACAGG